rnacentral:rRNA from 1 species
CAGUCGCCGCGGUAAAACGUAGGGUGCAAGCGUUAAUCGGAAUUACUGGGCGUAAAGCGUGCGCAGGCGGUUAUAUAAGUCAGAUGUGAAAUCCCCGGGCUCAACCUGGGAACUGCAUUUGAGACUGUAUGGCUAGAGUGUGUCAGAGGGGGGUAGAAUUCCACGUGUAACAGUGAAAUGCGUAGAUAUGUGGAGGAAUACCGAUGGCGAAGGCAGCCCCCUGGGAUAACACUGACGCUCAUGCACGAAAGCGUGGGGAGCGAACAGGAUUAGAUACCCGCGUAGUCCCUGUCUCUUAUAC